UUUUUUCGUAGCACACGGGUGAGUAAUAAACAGAUUAAUACCCUUUAGUUUAGAACAAAAUUUACAAUCGUAACCCAAAUUCUAAAUAAAAAUCAAAAGGUUUUUAAAACCGCUAAAAGAUAAAUCUGUUUAAGAUUAGAUUGUUGGUAAUGUAAAAGAGUACCAAGUCUAUGAUCUUUAGUUGAUCUUAGAGGAUGAUCAACCACACUGGAACUGAAACAAGGUCCAGGCUGAAAAUUCAGCCAGCAGUGAGGAAUAUUGGACAAUGAACGAAAGUUUGAUCCAGCAAUACUACUUGGAUGAUGACGGCUUUUAAAGUUGUAAAAUCCUUUUAUUUUUAAAAGAUAAUGACAUAAAUAAAAUAUAAUAAGUCCCGGCUAAUACUCGUGCCAGCAGCCGCGGUAAUACGGGAGGGGCAAGCGUUAUUCGGCAUAACUGGGCGUAAAGAGUCCGUAGACUGUAUAGUAAGUUUUUUGUUAAAUUUUAAAACUUAAUUUUAAACAGCAAUAAAUACUACUUUACUAGAGUUUAAUAUAAAAAAGUAUAAUUUUAUACGGAAGGGUGAAAUCUAUAGAUAUAUAAAGGAGUAUCAAUAGCGAAGGCAACUUUUUGAUAUAAACUGACGUUGAGGGACGAAAGUGUGGGUAGCAAACAGGAUUAGAUACCCUGGUAGUCCACACUGUAAAUUCUGAGUGUUGUAAUUUAAUUGUAAUUUUGGAUAAAUAAAACUAAAUUACUUAGAUUUUUAAGCUAACGCAAUAAACACUCCGCCUGAAGAGUACGAUCGCAAGGUUGGAACUCAAAGGAAUUGACGGGGGCCUAGUACUAGUGGUGGAGCAUGUGGUUUAAUGCGAUAAUCCGCGCAAAACCUUACCAAUUCUUGACAUAAUAACACGUCUUAUUUGUAGUUUAGUACAUAUAU
rnacentral:rRNA from 1 species